rnacentral:lncRNA from 1 species
AACAAGUAUGCGUUUACAGUGCAAAAUCUGACAGAGCUGGUGAUGAAGAUCUCUUGGAUUUGACACCUUAAACUAAUGAAAAUGAAAUGAUUAAAAGGUGAUAAAGAAAGUGGGACAAAUCGAAUUCAGAUUUGAGGUCAGAUCUGCCCGAAAACGAGUAGAUCUAUUCUCAGAUCUGUGGCAGAGCCAGCAUGAUCCAAGUCACGAAAAUAUGAUUUUAAAGCAAAUAAGCAGAUCAAAAUGAAAUUAGAAGAAUAAAAGAAGAAUAAAAAAAAGAAAGAAAUGAUACCGAACCCGACCGGAUGGCCCAGGACUCUUGAGCCUUCUGGGGCUCGCCAUAUCAGAACCGGUCUUCUUUUGUCUCUUUGAGUCGGAUGUUCACCACCAAGUAUCUGGUUGAAGAAGGGUGGUUGUGCCCAAAGGGUAGAUCUAGGGUGGUUGUGCCCUAGGUCUAGGUUUUCUCUCAGGAGGCUCGGGUUCCUGAAGCAGUUUAUAAAGUUUUCU